GAUGAACGCUGGCGGCGUGCCUAAUACAUGCAAGUCGAGCGAACGGACGAGAAGCUUGCUUCUCUGAUGUUAGCGGCGGACGGGUGAGUAACACGUGGAUAACCUACCUAUAAGGCUGGGAUAACUUCGGGAAACCGGAGCUAAUACCGGAUAAUAUUUUGAACCGCAUGGUUCAAAAGUGAAAGACGGUCUUGCUUUCACUUAUAGAUGGAUCCGCGCUGCAUUAGCUAGUUGGUAAGGUAACGGCUUACCAAGGCAACGAUGCAUAGCCGACCUGAGAGGGUGAUCGGCCACACUGGAACUGAGACACGGUCCAGACUCCUACGGGAGGCAGCAGUAGGGAAUCUUCCGCAAUGGGCGAAAGCCUGACGGAGCAACGCCGCGUGAGUGAUGAAGGUCUUCGGAUCGUAAAACUCUGUUAUUAGGGAAGAACAUAUGUGUAAGUAACUGUGCACAUCUUGACGGUACCUAAUCAGAAAGCCACGGCUAACUACGUG
rnacentral:rRNA from 1 species